UCUUGGACUGCAAGGAGAUCCAGCCAGUCCAUCCUAAAGAAGAUCAGUCCUGGGUUUUCAUUGAAAGGACUGAUGCUGAAGCUGAAACUCCAAUACUUUGCCCAUCUGAUGCAAAGAGAUACUCAUUAGAAAAGACCCUGAUGCUGGGAAAGACUGAAGGUGGGAGGAGAAGGGGAUGACAGAGGAUGAGAUGGUUGCAUGCCAUUACCGACUCAACGGACAUGGGUUUGAGCAAGCUCCAGGAGACAGUGAUGGUCAGGGAAGCCUGGUGUGCUGCGGUCCAUGGGGUUACAAAGACUCAAGACGUGACUGAGUGAGCAACAACAACAGCAAGGAAGGUCGUGGAGUAGUGGGCUGUGUAGAAGUGAACACAGGAUGUUCAUGUCUGUGAAGGCAACAGAAACGUCAUUCCAAAUUGCACUGGAGGCAGAGAGCAUCCGGUCGGGUAAUUAAGUCAGGACAGAGGUGUGCGGCUGGUCUCUGCAGCAGCUGGAGUUGAGGAGUUGAAGCCAGCGGUUGUCAUGGACACGGCUCAUCCAUCACUUCUGCUUCCCUUCUGAGGCAGCCGUCUGCUCUCGCACCCGAGCUGCUGGCCCUGCUCAGCAGUGGACCUGGAGGGCUGCGUGUCCCAGGCUUAGGUCGUUAGCUAUGCCGACAGGGAGGAUUCCAUCUGACCCAGGGGGCCUGCCUUGGUCCUUGAGGGCACCUUCGGGAGCAACCAGUGGGGGAUUCUUUACCAGCUGAGCCACAUGGGAAGCCCAAGAAUCCUGGAAUGGGUUGCCAUUUCGUCCUCCAGCGGAUCUUCCUGACCCAGGGACUGAACCCACGUCUCCUGCCUUGGCAGGCAGACUCUCUACCUUCUGAGCCACCAGGGAAGGCCCACAGGAGGGUACCAUGCAGUCUGCUGGAUGAAUGAACAUAUUCCCGGUCCCAUGUCUGUCCUUUGUCUGAACCAAACUGUCUGGGGAGUGGUUGCUGGGAACCUGUAGACACAUGAGCCCUUUGUGACCCUUCUGAGGUGACCUUGCCAUCUGACAGGCCCUCAAACAGGGUCUCAUGUGCCACAGUAAGUCUAAUCAACUGUAGGAGCUAUUCCUCAGAAUUAUCCAUUCUAGGUCCCGGGCAAAGAUUGUUGGGGCUAUUUAUGCCUCGUUCAACAAAAUGACUCAAUGGAAAAAGUGACCGAGUGUUUUCAACUUAGCUCCAUCUUCCUUGCUCGGUUGCUACAACCAUAUCGAAAUUCUGUGUCUAAAAUGUUCUGGCGGUUACUAAGACCAGGACUGUGACUAAAGUGAACUCUGAUGGUCCAUGUUCUCUUUAUGUUACUCCUCAUCUCUCUUGGUCAUAUUAACCUCGUUACUUUCAGAAAAAAAAAACAACACACACAAUGAAAGAAACACAAAACAAUCAAGCAACAAUAAACAAUUUUUUGUUGGCAUUUUUUUUUUAAGAACGAAAAUUCUGCUCCACUAUCCAUGAUAACACCAGGCUUAGGAGAGGGGGAAAAUGAAUUAGGCAUGACAAUUUUUUUUUUCUCUUGCAUGACUCUUUUGAUCAUAUUUUUUUAGUAGUAUUGGUUCAAAGGGAAAUCAUAGUGCUUGCAUGUUGAACAGCACCUAGCAUAAAUUAAAUUGGCCUGGAGUUGUUAAAAGUAUUUAGAGACUCUGCUAUAACAUGACAUGCUUUCUUAAAUAUUUGUGUUUUCAUCUGUCUUCCUAAUUGGGCUCUCAGCUGCUGGAAGGCUGCUUACAUCUUAUUUGUCCCCCGCCUGGGGUGCAAUCGGUACCUUUACGUACUAUCCUCUGAAGGCCUGAUGCUGGUGGGGAGAAUGAACAUCUUCAUGGAAAAUUCCAGCUCAUCUGCACAUCAGCUACCUUUGAUUGAAAAGCGCAUCUCUCCCACUCAGAGAGGAAUGCUGCUGUCUAUUCUACAUCUUAAAAAGAAAAAAUCCAGAGGCUGAAAUCUGACUGUAGGACUUUCAGACAACCUGCAUUUCCACAGUACAGUAACACCCCCAUGUCACUCUGCCUACAUCACACUUGGGUGUUUGAAUGCCAGCUGAUGAGAGCUCAUUUUAAACUCUCCUGCUUUAAAAACAUUUUUUUUUUCUUUUUUCUUGAAAGAGUUCCCUUUCUGGAUCCCAACAGUUUGAUUUCUCUUUCAAUUCCGGUGGGCUGACAGCCUCAGAGAUGCUUUGUUUGUGCCAUUACUGAGGGAAGGGGAUGAAACGAUCAGAUCUUAUUUACCAGUCUCUGUCUGAUAAAGACGGCUUUGCCAUAAAAGAAGCAAACGAUAAAAAGCUAGAAGUACAAGACACUGGGUCUUAAAGUCAUCCCGCUAAAUAAAAUGAAAAGAGCUCAGUUCUGGACUGCUGACUCGGGGCACAGCCAGCUGCACAUGACUUUGUCGAGGACAGAGGUAAGGAGCAGACGUCCUGGUGAAUUUUUCAAGUGAAUGUGUAAGAUAAUCUUCAAAAGUCAAGUUUAAAAUUCCCUGCUUAACUUUUUGCAACCCUUCUGGCCAUCGUGUAACCCGACUAUUCUGUUGUACAGAUACCAUUAGCAAGUCCUUCUUCCAACAAUACAAAUACCUCUCUUCUCCUGAUAAAAUCUCAUUUUAAGUAAGUUGAAGGGACCAUAGGCUUUUUUUCCCCCCUAACCCAGAGUACUUUUUUUUUUUUUCUGCUUUACCUUUUUCUUGUUUGCUUAUCAAGGUACAAUUUGCAUGCUGUAAAAUUCUUUCUUAAGUGUGCAGUCCAGAAAUCUUCAAAGUAUAUACAGGCUUCGGGUCCAAACUGGCCUGCAGAUUGUUUUGUAAAUAAAGCUUUAUUGGAACAUGGCCACUCCUACUCAUUUACAUAUUGUCAGUGGCUGCUUUCACGCAGCAAUGGCAGACCUGAGUCUUGGUCUGCAAAGGCAAAUACAUUUGCUCUCCCGAACUUUACAUAAAAUCUACAAUCUUGGCUGAAAAAAAAAAGUGAGUAGCUCAGUCGUGUCCAAUUCUUUGCAAUCCCAUGGACAAUCUUGGCUACAGUUCUACAAAUUUUAACCAAUUAGCAGUCAUGUAAC
ensembl:lncRNA